AGUUUGAGACUCCGUAAACUUCCACCUUGAAUAAUUCCCAGCGAAAUCCCCAAAAAUCCCAUCUCUCACCCUCACGUCCUCAAAUCGGCGUCAUCUCAGGCGCUCACUUGCACAGUAAUUGGUGUUCUUGUGUCGCCUUUUGCGAUAUCGGUGGCCUUGUUGUAACCCAUUCACGUAUGAAUUUAUCAGGUUCUUUAAAAUCCCCAAUUCUCAAACUCGAGAUUUUGGAAGCACGCAAUACUUCUAUAUUUGUACCCAUUUCUCGAAUUUUUGGUGUCAAAUAUGACGUAUUGUAUAGAAUUUGUGGGCUGUGAGGAUAAUUCAAUAUUACUGUUGUUGGACUAAAAUCCAAUGGUGUAUUGAUGUUUUGUCAAAACAUUGGCAGAGCUUGCAGACCUAAUAAAUUUGUGUUAUUAUCUGACUUUAUUUUCCGAGAGGUCUUUUAUAUAAUCCUUUUUCUAGUUUUUGUAUUUAGUAUUUGAGGAAAUUUCUACUACAUAGCCGGCGGUUUCAGUGGGGUUCAACCAAUGCGAGGGUUGAUAAGGCCCAAUUGGUACGGUACACAAACAUGCAGCAAAUGGUACAAUUCUAGCCUUCGACCAUCUUAUCUACUUAAUUUACCGUAAUCUUCUCUUUACUUAAUCAUAUGUACUUUAUUUGUGUGCUUUGAUUAUUAAUUUGUUGUUUGCAACUUGAUUUUAAUUGCAUAUAAAACAGUUUGACUCUUUUCACUGGAGUUUGGGGCUAAGUUCACUUGCAGCAAACUCCAAAGGUUAUUCAGUUGUUGAAUGAUGAGGGAACCACCAACCACUUGAUUUGUCCAACUUUGAACUCUUGAAGACGCCUCACCACAUUUCAUGCUUGACGUAAUCUAGAGUAGCAUUCGCCAAUCCAAGAUUUGUACUUGUUUGGGAUCCAAAGUUACAUAUGUUUGGAACUACAUAGAAUGAUUCGAUAUGUUAUGGUAUUUGAGUAUCAUUGAUUGUAUAUGAAACUGACAUUUGAUUGGUUGAUGAAGUGUAAAUUUGCAGAUGUGGUUUUAUUUA